CCGUGAAGAAGAAUCUAGAAGGCUGAUCUUUUAAUUCCAAAACAUGUUUUUGACCAUAAGGAGCGUUUUUUCUUUGGAUCAAUGACAAGUGGCAAAUUGGUGGACGUUGGAUCCUUACCUUUCAUAUAAAUAGGAAGCCUCAGAUUUUUUAGGAUUAACGAUUAGUAUUCUGUGGUUUUUUCUUGGCUGCGUGCCUUUCAUCUUCUCCGUUCUAAUCUUGUGAUUUCUUUGAAAAUACUUAGUGUGAUUUUGGGAGAAUUGGUAGAUAAACUCUUGUGUGAGUUCUACUAUGGGAAGAUUGUGUUGUAUUUGUGAUUUGGGAACUUUGUAUUCUGUAACUUGAUCUUUGCCUAUUUUUGGCCGAUUUAGUGGAUUCGAGCUUAAUCCUUAUGGAUGCUCAACGGGGGACUAAGUGUUAGAAGAGGUCGCUGAACCUCCGGGACUUUUUGGCCGAAAAAUCUCUCGUGUUCUUAUUUUCUGUUCUAUUUUGAGAAAAUUUAGAUUUUUUGUGUUGAGUAUUUUUGAUAUAAAUUCGAUUUUGGAACUACAGUGGUAUCAAAGCUUGAAGUUUGUUUUUUUUUUUUUUUAAAUUCAGUUUUCUCAAAACUUGAUUUCUGAAACUCGAAUCUCAAAGGGGGAUUCGCUCGGCCUAAAGAAAACGAGCAGAUCUGAACAUUCGAAAAUUUUUUCUUGGGUGCUUCUGUCAUUAUUUUUGUAUAUCUUCAAGGAGUUUUUUUUAAUCCUGCAGUAUUUCUUGCUAGUAGUUUUCUUUUAAAAGAAAAAGGAGGUUGGUUCGACUUGAUCUACUCUACAUUUGCCUUUGUCUUAGGUUCCUUAAGAGAACCCUAGAAUUAGAGGAAAUCCAGGGAUUCCUCGAUUCAAGAAACCAGAAUGUCCAAUUUUCUAAAAUUCUCGUUAGUUUAAUACUAUGUGUAUCUUUUAUAACUUGAAUUUAUAUUUCUUUAUAAACUGCUGGAUGAUAUUAACCGUGUGAUUUUUCUAUUAUUAUUAUUAUUAUUAUUAUUAUUAUUAUUAUUAUUAUUAUUAUUAUUUUGAACUUUGUGUUCAAUUAGGAAAUAUUGCUCUUGUGAAGGUAUACCUGUAGAGAACUUUCCUUUCUGAUUACUUAGUGUAAGUAUACUUUUUUGGCCCUAUAAUAUUUCUGCAUUGUAUGCUAUUUGGAAUCCUUGUUGUUAAAUCUUACUGCAUUGUGAUUGACAUAUACUGUAUUGACUUGUGUGACAAAUUACUGUACAUAUCACACUUGAGCACAAUUCACAUAUUGUUGCUUACUAUGAAUUCAAAAGUAGAUGUUUAGAUUUGGGAUGGCAAAUGAGACUUUAGUCUCUGGCGCCAGAAAAUUAAGGCCUUAUUGUUACAAUUAAAAUGUGCUAAAGUUGUUGAUGAAUCUUGGCCUGAAAACCUACCUGAAAAUAGAAAAACUAAUCAAGAUGAGCUAGCUUAGAGUACUAUAUUCUUACACUUAUCUGACUCUGUAAUCAGAAAAGUAGGAGAAACUAAGACUGCUGCAGAAUUAUGGACAGCCUUAGAAAAACAGUACCUAACUAAGUCUUUACCAAAUAAAUGUUUUCUAUGGAGGCAAUUCUUUAGUUUUAAGUUUGAUCCUAAUCUUGAUACAGAAAAAAACAUGGACAAAUUUAAUAAAAUCACUCAAGAUCUUAUAAAUUGUGAAGAAAAGAUCUCUGAUGAGCAAAAGGUAGUAGGUCUACUAAAUGCCUUAGGGGACAAAUAUAAAGACAUAAGAAAUGCCUUGGAAUAUAGUAGGAGUGACUUGACGGUUGAAAUUAUCCAUAGCUCUCUUUUGCAUAAGGACCUAGAACUAAAAUCUAAACGUAAGGAGGCAUUUCAUGUUGAAAAUGCCCUUGCAAAUCAAAAGUCUCAAACUAAUGGUGUUAGUAAUUUUAGUCAAUCUAAUCACAACAAGGACAGAAAUUUUGUAAAAAGGAAAUGGGCCAAUAAAAGUAAAGGAAAGGACAAGAAAUUUAAUAAGACCAAGGCAAAAAACAAAAAGUGCUAUUAUUGUGGGAAGUUGGGUCAUUUUAUCAAAGAUUGCUUUAAAAAAGCCAAUGACCAAAAAAAUAAUCCCAAUUUUGAGAUUGGGUCAUCAUCCAUGGCUAUCCCCUACAAAGAAGCAGGAGCCAACAUUGGGGUUGCUUCUGUAUCUGUUACUAAAAGGACUAAUCAGAACUGGGUUCUGGAUUCAGGUUGUUCCUUUCAUAUGACUCCCAAUAAAGGUUGGUUCUCUGACUUCUCUGACCUUAAUGAAGGCUUUGUAAAACUUGGUAAUAAUGGAUCAUGCCAAAUUAGAGGCAUAGGUAAUAUCCUUCUGAAAUUAGAAUCUGGCAAUUACUUAAUACUGAAACAUACAAGAUAUGUGCAAGCACUAAGUAGGAAUUUAAUCUCCCUAAGUGUUCUUGAUGAUGAGAAUUAUUAUGUUGAAAUCAAGAAUGGUUUUUACAAAUAUAAUCAGAGAUCAAAAGCCCAUUAUUAGUGCCCCAAAAUUAAAGGAAUUUAUGUUAUUGACACUGAACCUAAUCCAAAGAAUGAUCUUGUGAGUCUUGUUGCACAUUCUGACAAGUCAGAACUCUGGCACAAGAGACUUAGCCAUCUUGGUGAAAAGGGUCUAAAAUCCCUCUCUCAUCAAGGGGCUUUUGGAAAGGACAAUGUUCAAAAACUAACCUUUUGUGAACAUUGUAUUUUGGGAAAACAGGUAAGGUUGCCUUUUAGGGUAGGUAUACACAAGUCUCAAAAUAUUUUGGAAUAUAUACACAGUGACUUGUGGGGUCCUACACCAGUGUCUAUCGUGUGUGGGUAUAGAUAUUACCUAUUAAUCAUAGAUGAUUAUUCCAGGAAGUCCUGGAUUUUCUUGCUUUAAUCAAAAUCUGAUACUUUUGUAAUCUUCAAACAAUGGUGUACAUUAAUUGAAAACCAAACAAGCAAGAAGAUUAAGACACUUAGAACUGAUAAUGGGUUGGAGUUCUGCAGUACAGAAUUUGAUCAAUUCUGUAGCAAUCAAGGCAUAUUGAGACAUAAAAAAGUUACCUAUAGCCCCAGCAAAAUGAGGUUGCUGAGAGAUUAAAUAGAACUGUUCUUGAGAGGACCAGGUCUAGGCUGAUUAGUUCUAGCAUGCCUAAAAUAUUUUGAGGGGAAGCUAUAAAGACAGUCUGUUACUUGUUGAAUAGAUGCCUCUCUAGUUCCUUAGAUAACAGAAUCCCUGAACAAAUCUAGUUUGGUUCUAUGCCUGACUACUCCCAUCUCAAAACCUUUGGUUGUACUGCAUAUGCACACCAUUAUGACUCAAAAUUGGAUCCUAGGCCACAAAAGGGUGUCUUCUUAGGAUAUGGAGAGGGAGUUAAAGGCUAUAGACUUUCAUUAAGGGAUACUAGAGGUUAUAAGGUGAUAAUAAGUAGGUUUGUGAUUUUCAAUGAGGAUGAAUUUCCAUGUCUCAGUGACAAAACCCAUGAAAACAUAAAGGAUGAUGACCUUAUUAUCACAGAAAUUGAGUUGAAUAAGGAAAACACUGAUGGGCAAACUCAGUUUGAGGUGGAGCAGCCUCAAACAGAGCUUAAUGACAUUUCAUAUGCUGAAAUUCUGAAUGAUAACCAGGAAUUAAGCCCAACACAUGAGUUGCAAAAUUAUCAGCUUGCAAGAGAUGGGGAAAGGAAGGAAAUAAGACCUCCCUCCAGAUAUCAAUAUGCAGAUUGUUUAUCUGCUGAAACAGAUUUUGACCCCUCUGAUCUUGAACUUACCUCCUAUGAGGAUGCAGUACCUUGUAAAGAGUCAUCAAAACGGAUAGAAGCCGUGGAUGAUGAAAUAAACUCUUUGCAUAAAAACAAAACUUGGGAAUUGGUUAAGAAACCUGAAGAAUGUAAAUUGGUUGACUGUAAAUGGGUAUAUAAGAUUAAAGAAGGAGAUUCAAAUAUAUCUAAUAAAAGAUAUAAGGCAAAGCUUGUAGUUAAAGGCUUCACUCAAAGAGAAGAGAUAGACUAUACCAAAAUCUUCUCACCUGUAGUUAAAUAUACCUCUAUUAGAAUUCUCCUUGCCAUUGUUACUCAGUUUGAUAUGGAAUUGAAGCAAUUUGAUGUAAAGACUGCCUUCUUGUAUGGUUCUUUAGAUGAAACCAUAUAUAUUACACAACCCAAAUGUUUUGAGGUAAAAAAUAAAGGUAAUCUAGUGUGUCUUCUAAAUAAAUCACUAUAUGGCUUAAAACAAGCUCAUAGGCAAUGGUAUAAGAGAUUUGAUUCUUUUAUACAAGGCCUAGAGUUCAAGAAAUCAGACUUUGAUCAUUGUUUUUAUUUUAAGAAGAAUAGUGAUUCUGAAUUCUUUUACCUCCUUUUAUAUGUUAAUGAUAUGUUGUUGGCUGGUCAUAAUUCUGUUACAUUUAAUUCCAUAAAAGAAAAAUUGAAAUUGGAAUUUGAAAUGACGGAUCUAGGUCCUGCAAGAAAGAUUUUAGGCAUGGAAAUUAUAAGAGACAGAAUAAAUGAAAAGUUAAUUUUAACUCAGAAAUCUUACAUUGAAAAAGUGGUUAAAAGAUUUUUCCUUGAGGAUGCCAAGUCUGUCAGUUUACCAUUGUCUACUUGCAUGAAGUUAUCCGUUGAACAAUCACUUAAGACAGAAGAACAAUUUAAAAGAAUGACAAGUGUGCCUUAUGCUAAUGCUGUUGGAUCAGUUAUGUAUGUAAUGGUAUGUAUUAGACCUGAUAUACAAUAUGCUGUAAGUGUAUUAAGUAGAUUCAUGAUUAAUCCAGGUGAAUUUCAUUGGGAAUGUAUGGAAAACCUGAUUAAAUAUUUGAAAGGGACAUGUAAUCUAGGACUUAUGUUUAAAGCAAGUAAAGAUGGUUUUAUACUAAAAGGUUAUGUUGAUUCAGAUUUUGCUGGAAACAUUGAUAAUAGAAAGUCUACUUCUACAUACUUUUAUGUCAUAAAUAAUACUUGCAUUAGUUGGAAGUCACAACUUCAGAAAAUAGUUGCCUUAUCCUCUACUGAGGCAGAAUAUAUUGCUGCCACUAAAACUGUUAAAGAGGGACUGCGGCUUAAAGAACUGUUAAAUGAAUUAGGUCAUAUAGAAAGUCAGGUGGAGUUAUGUUCUAACAAUCAAAGUGCUAUUUUCUUAAGUAAAAAUCCAGUUUUUCAUGAUAGGUCAAAGCACAUUGAUGUUAAAUUUCAUUUCAUUAGAGAUAUAAUUGAUAAAGGUGAUAUUAAACUGAUAAAAAUACCCACUAAGGUAAAUCCUACUGAUGUUGGGACAAAGGUAGUACCACUUUGUAAGUUUUCAGAUUGUUUGAGAUUAUUAAGUCUCGAAACUUGCUAAUAAUUUUUUUUUCAAGUGACUAGAGCAAAUGAAAUAAAAGACUAAGUUAGAAUCCGCAUACAUGCAGGCACAAAAUACAGUAAAGGUGGAGAUUGUAAGUUGUUGGGUUGUUGCAUUUUGUAAUGUGAGCCUAUUUUUGUCAAGACUAUUGAAUUGAUCCCAAAUAAAUGGCCCAAUAUCAUGACCGGUGAAGAAGAAUCUGGAAGGCUGAUCUUUUAACUCCAAAACGUGUUUUUUGACCAUAAGGAGCGUUUUUUCUUUCGAUCAAUGACAAGUGGCAAACUGGUGGACAUCGGAUCCUUACCUUUCAUAUAAAUAGGAAGCCUCAAAUUUUUUAGGGUUAACGAUUAGUAUUCUGUGGUUUUUUCUUGGCUGCGUGCCUUUCAUCUUCUCCGUUCUAAUCUUGUGAUUUCUCUUAAAAUACAAAGUAUGAUUUUGGAAGAAUUGGUAG
rnacentral:lncRNA from 1 species